rnacentral:rRNA from 1 species
GACGAACGCUGGCGGCGUGCCUAAUACAUGCAAGUAGAACGCUGAAGGAGGAGCUUGCUUCUCUGGAUGAGUUGCGAACGGGUGAGUAACGCGUAGGUAACCUGCCUGGUAGCGGGGGAUAACUAUUGGAAACGAUAGCUAAUACCGCAUAAUAGUAGAUGUUGCAUGACAUUUGCUUAAAAGGUGCAAUUGCAUCACUACCAGAUGGACCUGCGUUGUAUUAGCUAGUUGGUGGGGUAACGGCUCACCAAGGCGACGAUACAUAGCCGACCUGAGAGGGUGAUCGGCCACACUGGGACUGAGACACGGCCCAGACUCCUACGGGAGGCAGCAGUAGGGAAUCUUCGGCAAUGGACGGAAGUCUGACCGAGCAACGCCGCGUGAGUGAAGAAGGUUUUCGGAUCGUAAAGCUCUGUUGUAAGAGAAGAACGAGUGUGAGAGUGGAAAGUCCACACUGUGACGGUAUCUUACCAGAAAGGGACGGCUAACUACGU